AUUGAACGCUGGCGGCAGGCCUAACACAUGCAAGUCGAGCGCGAAAGUCUUCGGAUGAGUAAAGCGGCGGACGGGUGAGUAACGCGUGGGAAUCUGCCUAGUAGUGGGGGACAACGUUCCGAAAGGAACGCUAAUACCGCAUACGUCCUACGGGGGAAAGGGGGGGAUCUUCGGACCUCUCGCUAUUAGAUGAGCCCGCGUCGGAUUAGCUAGUUGGUAGGGUAAAGGCCUACCAAGGCGACGAUCCGUAACUGGUCUGAGAGGAUGAUCAGUCACACUGGAACUGAGACACGGUCCAGACUCCUACGGGAGGCAGCAGUGGGGAAUAUUGGACAAUGGGGGCAACCCUGAUCCAGCCAUGCCGCGUGUGUGAAGAGGCCUUAGGGUUGUAAAGCACUUUUGCCAGGGAAGAUGAUGACUGUACCUGGA
rnacentral:rRNA from 1 species